UACGUAGGUGGCGAGCGUUAUCCGGAAUUAUUGGGCGUAAAGCGCGCGCAGGCGGUCUUUUAAGUCUGAUGUGAAAGCCCACGGCUCAACCGUGGAUGGCCAUUGGAAACUGGAAGACUUGAAUACAGAAGAGGAAAGUGGAAUUCCACGUGUAGCGGUGAAAUGCGUAGAGAUGUGGAGGAACACCAGUGGCGAAGGCGACUUUCUGGUCUGAUAUUGACGCUGAGGCGCGAAAGCGUGGGGAGCAAACAGG
rnacentral:rRNA from 1 species